GACGAACCGUGCGAACGUUAUUCGGAAUCACUGGGCUUAAAGCGCGUGUAGGCGGGCCGGCACGUCGGUCGCUGAAAUCCCCCGGCUCAACCGGGGAAGGGGCGCCGAAACGACCGGCCUGGAGGGGGGUAGGGGGCGCCGGAACUCACGGUGGAGCGGUGAAAUGCGUUGAGAUCGUGAGGAACGCCCGUGGCGAAAGCGGGCGCCUGGACCCCGCCUGACGCUGAGACGCGAAAGCCAGGGGAGCGAACGGG
rnacentral:rRNA from 1 species